ACUAAAUAGAUACCCCGGUAGUCCACGCCCUAAACGAUGCGAACUGGACGUUGGUUGCAACUUGGCAAAUCAGUGUCGAAAGCUAAACGCGUUAAGUUCGCCGCCUGGGGAGUACGGUCGCAAGACUGAAACUCAAAGGAAUUGACGGGGGCCCGCACAAGCGGUGGAGUAUGUGGUUUAAUUCGAUGCAACGCGCAGAACCUUACCUGGCCUUGACAUGUCGCGAACUUUCCAGAGAUGGAUUGGUGCCUUCGGGAACGCGAACACGAGGUGCUGCAUGGCUGUCGUCAGCUCGUGUCGUGAGAUGUUGGGUUAAGUCCCGCAACGAGCGCAACCCUUGUCCUUAGUUGCCAGCACGUAAAGGUGGGAACUCUAAGGAGACUGCCGGUGACAAACCGGAGGAAGGUGGGGAUGACGUCAAGUCGAUCAGUC
rnacentral:rRNA from 1 species